rnacentral:rRNA from 1 species
UGAGUAACCUGCCCUUAACUCUGGGAUAAGCCUGGGAAACUGGGUCUAAUACCGGAUAUGACUCCUCAUCGCAUGGUGAGGGGUGGAAAGCUUUAUUGUGGUUUUGGAUGGACUCGCGGCCUAUCAGCUUGUUGGUGAGGUAAUGGCUCACCAAGGCGACGACGGGUAGCCGGCCUGAGAGGGUGACCGGCCACACUGGGACUGAGACACGGCCCAGACUCCGUACGGGAGCAG